GACGGACAGGGACGGAGGUAAGAGUGGUAGGGGAGACGAGGUACGAGUGGCCGCGGUGGAUAGGUGAGGUAGCCCUAGAGCGGGCGGAAGAAGUGAGGGGCGCUGCACAGACCCACUCGUCGGCCUAGGCCGGCGGUAGUUCGGUAGGUAACAAGACCGGUAGGGACCGGCUGAAGGCGACGGUUGCCGUUGAACGUCCUGCUAAACAUGUAGUCCGCUCGCCGUGGCAGCUAGACGGUAGGAUCCGGUUAAAGACCACGGCUCCCGCAGCACAAGAGGAGGUUGAACGUGCCGUUGUCCCGAGAAGGCUACAGGUGACUAACUUCGAGCGGCGAGGCUCGUCAUCCGCGAUUGUGACCCUCUCUCAGGCCGACCCGGAGGUGAGGUUUUCUGUCAAACCUCCCUUGUCCGCGACGACUACCCUCGGCGUCGACGGCCUCGACACGGCGCCGCGGUGAGCUACCUUUUUGUAAAGGAUUGCGGUGUCCCCCCUUAUACGGGAGCUCCUCCUCCCGCUCGAUUACGCGGCGUAGCGGUGAGCUACCUUUUUGGUAAAAGAUUGCGGCGUUCCCCCUAUACGGGAAUUCCUCCCGCUCGGUGACUCGGCCAACGGCUCAACUGCGUUCUCUUGUCGCGAUGACGAGGUCACGCUGCCGUGAGUCCCCGACUCCGAGAUGGUGUGUACGAGCGUCUUGCUUGGCGAAGAGUUACCCACUAACUAAAACAUCGUGAGCUAGCGACUCAAUUUCCAACAUCGACUUAACUUAUAAAGAACAAGAAGUCUUAGAGCACGCUCGGAAAACGAAAAAUGACAUUAGGUACCUACAACCACAACACUUACAAUUUAAUAACUAUAGAAAUUGAACACUUAACCAACCUAUUUAGGCCCUUAUACAUACUCUACUUCAAAGACUUAUAUCUUCGAAGGACUUAUAUGUCCCGAAGACUUGAACAUACGUGACUCG
rnacentral:rRNA from 1 species